UGUAGAGUUUGAUCCUGGCUCAGAUUGAACGCUGGCGGCAUGCCUUACACAUGCAAGUCGAACG
rnacentral:rRNA from 1 species